AUUGAACGCUAGCGGCAGGCUUAACACAUGCAAGUCGAGCGGAGUGAUGGUGCUUGCACUAUCACUUAGCGGCGGACGGGUGAGUAAUGCUUAGGAAUCUGCCUAUUAGUGGGGGACAACAUCUCGAAAGGGAUGCUAAUACCGCAUACGUCCUACGGGAGAAAGCAGGGGAUCACUUGUGACCUUGCGCUAAUAGAUGAGCCUAAGCCGGAUUAGCUAGUUGGUGGGGUAAAGGCCUACCAAGGCGACGAUCUGUAGCGGGUCUGAGAGGAUGAUCCGCCACACUGGGACUGAGACACGGCCCAGACUCCUACGGGAGGCAGCAGUGGGGAAUAUUGGACAAUGGGGGGAACCCUGAUCCAGCCAUGCCGCGUGUGUGAAGAAGGCCUUAUGGUUGUAAAGCACUUUAAGCGAGGAGGAGGCUCUUUUGGUUAAUACCCAAGAUGAGUGGACGUUACUCGCAGAAUAAGCACCGGCUAACUCUGUGCCAGCAGCCGCAGUAA
rnacentral:rRNA from 1 species